rnacentral:rRNA from 1 species
UAAUACCGGAUAACAACAGAUGAUGCCUAUCAACUGUUUAAAAGAUGGUUCUGCUAUCACUCUUGGGAUGGACCUGCGGUGCAUUAGCUAGUUGGUAGGGUAACGGCCUACCAAGGCGAUGAUGCAUAGCCGAGUUGAGAGACUGAUCGGCCACAUUGGGACUGAGACACGGGCCCAAAACUCCUACGGGAGGCAGCAGUAGGGAAAUCUUCCACAAUGGACGCAAGUCUGAUGGAGCAACGCCGCGUGAGUGAAGAAGGGUUUCGGCUCGUAAAGCUCUGUUGUUGGUGAAGAAGGACAGGGGUAGUAACUGACCUUGUUUGACGGUAAUCAAUUAGAAAGUCACGGCUAACUACGUGCCAGCAGCCGCGGGUAAU